GGGCCUAUAGUUUAGUGGUAAAACAGUGGUCUCCAAAACCACCGUCCCAGGUUCGAGUCCUGGUGGGCCCG
rnacentral:tRNA from 1 species